CCUACGGGAGGCAGCAGUGGGGAAUAUUGGGCAAUGGGCGCAAGCCUGACCCAGCAACGCCGCGUGAGGGAAGAAGGCUUUCGGGAUGUAAACUUCUUUGACAGGGGAAGAGACGAAGACGGUACCCUCAGAACAAGCUACGGCUAACUACGUGCCAGCAGCCGCGGUAAUACGUAGGUGGCGAGCGUUGUCCGGAUUUACUGGGUGUAAAGGGCGUGCAGCCGGGAGUACAAGUCAGAUGUGAAAUCCCGCGGCUCAACCGCGGAACUGCUUUUGAAACUGGAUUUCUUGAGUACUGGAGAGGCAGGCGGAAUUCCUAGUGUAGCGGUGAAAUGCGUAGAUAUUAGGAGGAACACCAGUGGCGAAGGCGGCCUGCUGGACAGUGACUGACGGUGAGGCGCGAAAGCGUGGGGAGCAAACAGGAUUAGAUACCCGAGUAGUC
rnacentral:rRNA from 1 species